rnacentral:rRNA from 1 species
AUGAUGCUCAAGGGCCCAAAAAUCUAUACUGAUGCUACUUUCAGAACUAAAAAAGUACCUCGUACCAUCAAUGGUCAGAGUAAAACGGGUAUUGGUGUUUACUUAUGUCUUCCUUUAUCUCAGGGUGAACUCAACAUUCAGGUUCAAGCUUCAGCUCCUCCAACUUCAACUCCGCUUCAGGCUGAAGUGAUUGCUCUUGUUUUUGCAGCGCAGCUUACUAUUGUUCUGCACAUUCAGCAACCCAUUUUCUUAACGGGUCUUAAUCUUGCUUCGGUGGUUGCUUCUAGAAAUUUUAUGCACUCUGCUGCCCCUUUUUUGAUAAAGGGUGGAUUUUAUUAA